GCGCUGCGGUAGUAGCAGCUGAUCCAUGGCACGGCAUGGAGCAGUCGUGUUCGUAGCGCGUUUCGGAGUGUGAUCGUACCGGUACGAUCGUGAACGACGUUUCUCCACGUCGUCGAGUUUCGUUCUAGUGAUCCUCGUGUUCGACACUCGUGACAAGUGACUGUCCCGGAUCCGUGCUAUUCGACCAAUUCCUCCGCUGACACGUUGCGAAACGGUGAAAGGUACAGAGGACGUGCAAGGAGAACGACGGACGAAGGAAGAGCAAGGAGAAUCCGUCACGACAUAUCUAUCCUGAAAAAUUGGAAACCUCGAGGAAAGGGGGAGCAUCGGCGAAACUGAAUUGCAGCGAGGUGCUAUCUACCCCUAAUUCAGCGACAUCCUGUACACGAGCCAGGAGGGUGCGCAGCGGAGAAGCAGGUAAAGAAGUGAUAAGAAUCCGGGGUCCAAUCGUUCGUGGAAAGAAAAUCAUGGAGGAUUUUUCAGCGAGGAAUAAAGCUGACGGGAGAGGAGAGGUCACGUCGCGGUAAAGCCAACCAGGCGUGAUCUACUCGACGAACAUUCGAUUCUACCCUUUCGUAUUGUCAACCUGAAGAAUACCGCGUAAGUAUCUUUUUUUUAUUCUUGAGAAACCAUAUGGAGU